rnacentral:rRNA from 1 species
UACGGGGGGGGCAAGCGUUGUUCGGAAUUACUGGGCGUAAAGGGCUCAUAGGCGGCCAACUAAGUCAGACGUGAAAUCCCUCGGCUUAACCGGGGAACUGCGUCUGAUACUGGAUGGCUUGAGAUUGGGAGAGGGAUGCGGAAUUCCAGGUGUAGCGGUGAAAUGCGUAGAUAUCUGGAGGAACACCGGUGGCGAAGGCGGCAUCCUGGACCAACACUGACGCUGAGGAGCGAAAGCCAGGGGAGCAAACGGG